CAGUAAGGACCACCAGGUUCGCAACCCCCUGGCAUGGCCAGGGCCCCCUGCCCCCAGCCCCGGCUGCCCCCAGCCCCAUCCAGCCUGGCCUUGGGCACUGCCAGGG